UAUUGACUUUGUCGUAUUACAAAACUGUAGUUUACAAAGAGGAAAUGCAUUUCCACAGAGGUGAAAGUAAAUUUAAAAGAUGAAUCCUUUAACGUGUUAGAUAUUUUACUACAUGAGAGUGACUGACAACCUACUUCCAGUUAGAUUGGGAUUUGAAGUGACUUUGUGAUUUAUUGAUUUUAGGGACGGUAAACCACAAUAAAAAUGUUGAUGUAGCAAUUACCGUUUUCAUGUUAAAUAUCAUGAUUAUCACGGUGGAUUACCAAGGUGUGGGAACCCUGUGUUUAAUCCU